rnacentral:tRNA from 1 species
AGGGGUGUGGCUCAGGGGUAGAGCACUUGCCUAGUGUGUGUGAGGCCCUGGGUUCCAUCCCCAGCACUGCAA